rnacentral:rRNA from 1 species
GACGAACCCACUCAAACGUUAUUCGGAAUCACUGGGCUUAAAGGGUGCGUAGGCGGCGCGGAGGGUGGGAUGUGAAAUCCCCCGGCUUAACCGGGGAAUUGCGUCCCAAACCGCCGUGCUCGAGGAAGAUAGAGGUGAGCGGAACAGAUGGUGGAGCGGUGAAAUGCGUUGAUAUCAUCUGGAACACCCGUGGCGAAAGCGGCUCACUGGGUCUUCUCUGACGCUGAGGCACGAAAGCUAGGGUAGCGAACGGGAUUAGAAACCCCGGUAGU